AUUGAACGCUGGCGGCAGGCCUAACACAUGCAAGUCGAACGAGUGGCGGACGGGUGAGUAAUGUCUGGGAAACUGCCUGAUGGAGGGGGAUAACUACUGGAAACGGUAGCUAAUACCGCAUACCAUCGGAUGUGCCCAGAUGGGAUUAGCUCGUAGGUGGGGUAAAGGCUCACCUAGGCGACGAUCCCUAGCUGGUCUGAGAGGAUGAACAGCCACACGGGAAUGGAGCCACGGUCCAGACUCUUACGGUAGUGAGCAGUGGGGAAGAUUGCAAAAUGGGCGCAAGCCUGAGGCAGCCAUGCCGCGUGUAUGAAGAAGGCCUUCGGGUUGUAAAGUACUUUCAGCGGGGAGGCGUUACCCGCAGAAGAAGCACCGGCUAACUCCGUGCCAGCAGCCGCGGUAAUAC
rnacentral:rRNA from 1 species